AUAGCGAGGAAAAGAACCCAACAGGGAUUGCCCUAGUAACGGCGAGUGAAGCGGCAACAGCUCAAAUUUGAAAUCUGGCUCUUUUAGAGUCCGAGUUGUAAUUUGCAGAGGGCGCUUUGGCUUUGGCAGCGGUCCAAGUUCCUUGGAACAGGACGUCACAGAGGGUGAGAAUCCCGUACGUGGUCGCUGGCUAUUGCCGUGUAAAGCCCCUUCGACGAGUCGAGUUGUUUGGGAAUGCAGCUCUAAAUGGGAGGUACAUUUCUUCUAAAGCUAAAUAUUGGCCAGAGACCGAUAGCGCACAAGUAGAGUGAUCGAAAGAUGAAAAGCACUUUGGAAAGAGAGUCAAACAGCACGUGAAAUUGUUGAAAGGGAAGCGCUUGCAGCCAGACUUGCUUACAGUUGCUCAUCCGGGUUCUUACCCGGUGCACUCUUCUGUAGGCAGGCCAGCAUCAGUUUGGGCGGUAGGAUAAAGGUCUCUGUCACGUACCUCCUUUCGGGGAGGCCUUAUAGGGGAGACGACAUACUACCAGCCUGGACUGAGGUCCGCGCAUCUGCUAGGAUGCUGGCGUAAUGGCUGUAAGCGGCCCGUCUUGAAACACGGACCAAGGAGUCUAACAUCUAUGCGAGUGUUUGGGUGUCAAGCCCGAGCGCGUAAUGAAAGUGAACGGAGGUGGGAACCCGCAAGGGUGCACCAUCGACCGAUCCUGAUGUCUUCGGAAGGAUUUGAGUAAGAGCAUGGCUGUUGGGACCCGAAAGAUGGUGAACUAUGCUUGAAUAGGGUGAAGCCAGAGGAAACUCUGGUGGAGGCUCGCAGCGGUUCUGACGUGCAAAUCGAUCGUCAAAUUUGGGCAUAGGGGCGAAAGACUAAUCGAACUAUCU
rnacentral:rRNA from 1 species